UGAGGAAUAUUGGUCAAUGGACGCAAGUCUGAACCAGCCAAGUAGCGUGCAGGAUGACGGCCCUAUGGGUUGUAAACUGCUUUUAUAUGGGGAUAAAGUGGGGAACGUGUUCCCUUUUGCAGGUACCAUAUGAAUAAGGACCGGCUAAUUCCGUGCCAGCAGCCGCGGUAUUACGGAAGGUUCGGGCGUUAUCCGGAUUUAUUGGGUUUAAAGGGAGCGUAGGCCGUUUGGUAAGCGUGUUGUGAAAUGUAGGAGCUCAACUUCUAGAUUGCAGCGCGAACUGUCAGACUUGAGUGCGCACAACGUAGGCGGAAUUCAUGGUGUAGCGGUGAAAUGCUUAGAUAUCAUGAAGAACUCCGAUUGCGAAGGCAGCUUACGGGAGCGCAACUGACGCUGAAGCUCGAAGGUGCGGGUAUCGAACAGG
rnacentral:rRNA from 1 species